GCGGAUGUGGUGUAGGGCACACCGCUGCAUACAGCUGUUCGAAAUCGUCUUGAAGCAGUUGGACGGGGUUCGAUUCCCCGUGUCCGCA